UGGGCCUAAUUAUUGGGCUCACUGGGUCGGGUUGCGGGUCAGCUAGGUCGGGCCGAAUUCGGGUCGGGUCAGCCCGAUUUAAUUUUUUUUUUCUUUUUUUUUCCCUCUUCCUUCUUCUUCUCUCUUUCUUUCUUCUUCUUCUUCUUCCUUCUUCUUCAAAACCGAGCCCGCACACCGUCGCUUCUUUCAUGCCGCCGUUCGAGCUGCCACCGUCGACUCCACCGGACCUUUCUCUCCCCUUUUUUCUUAUUUUUGAAGCUUUUUUUUUUCUCUUUGAAAUUUUUUUUUGGAGAUUCGUGGGUGGGGGGUCCAUUUUUGGAGUUUAAACUCCUUUUUAUAGUUGAUUUUGCUUCUUUUUUGCAGGUAGCAGGUGGGGAAGGCCAUGCCCUAGGCUGGCGGCCGGAAAUCGUGGGGCAGGUGCACGAAAUCCGCCGGAUUAUUGGGGAUUUUCUGACAGAAGGACCAAUUUGUAAAUGCAGCAAAAGUUUUGGGGCCGAAACAAAUUUCGAAUAAGUUUAUGGGUCAAAAUGUAAUUUCAAAAAGUUUAUGGGUCAAAAUGUAAUUUUAGGAAAAUUUAGGGGUUAAAAUGCAAUUUUAAAAAGUUUAGGGGGGUCAAAAUAUAUUUUUUUAUUUUUUGUAUUUUUUAUUUUUAUAUAUAUAUAUAUAUUUUUAAAUAUAUAUAUAAACACGACAAAACCCGGACAAAAUUUAGUGCUUACAGCUGCCCCUCUUUGCUCAUCGCUGUGAAACAGGGAUAGAGCAAAGACUUUAAAGCACUGAAUUUUGUUCGACUAUCCAAAAAUUUUCUUUUUAUUUGAAAAACAGAAAUUGAAAAUAGC
rnacentral:lncRNA from 1 species